rnacentral:rRNA from 1 species
UCAAGCUACUAAGGGCACACGGUGGAUGCCUUGGCGCUUAGGGCCGACGAAGGGCGUGGUAAGCUGCGAAAAGCCUCGGGUAGCUGCAAACAAGCGUUGAUCCGAGGAUACCCGAAUGGGGGAACCCGCCUGGGAUAAUACCCAGGCAUCCAUACCUGAACACAUAGGGUAUGGAGGGGCACCGGGGGAACUGAAACAUCUAAGUACCCCGAGGAAGAGAAAACAACAGUGAUUCCCUAAGUAGCGGCGAGCGAACGGGGAAGAGCCCAAACCCAGCAAAUGCAGAAGGCUGCAACCGUUGUUUGCUGGGGGUUGCGGGACUGGCCGGGACAGGUUGCAGACUGUCCAUGGAGUUACAAAGGUAUAUUUUAGCCGAAGUGUGCUGGAAAGCACCACCACAGGGGGUGAAAGUCCCGUAGGCGAAAAGAUAUACCCUCCAGGCCGGUAUCCCAAGUACCACGGGGCACGGGGAACCCUGUGGGAAUCCGGGAGGACCACCUUCCAAGGCUAAAGACCCUAAGCGACCGAUAGUGGACUAGUACCGUGAGGGAAAGGUGAAAAGCACCCCGGGAGGGGAGUGAAAAAGAACCUGAAACCGUGUGUCUACAAACCGUAGGAGAGCAUUAUUGGCUCGACUGCGUGCCUAUUGCAGAAUGAACCGGCGAGUUACGGUAUGUUGCGAGGUUAAGGUCAAGCUGACCGGAGCCACAGCGAAAGCGAGUCUUAACAGGGCGUAAAGUAGCAUGCCGUAGACCCGAAACCGGGUGAUCUACCCUUGGCCAGGGUGAAGCGUUCGUAACAGUUCGUGGAGGCCCGAACCCACCGGUGUUGAAAAACCGGGGGAUGAGCUGAGGGUAGGGGUGAAAAGCCAAUCGAACUCGGAGAUAGCUGGUUCUCCCCGAAAUAGCUUUAGGGCUAGCCUCACAGCAUGAGUUAUGGAGGUAGAGCACUGAUUGGGCUAGGGGCCCUGACAGGUUACCGACCCCAUUCAAACUCCGAAUGCCAUAUACUCGGACUGUGGGAGUCAGACUACGGGUGCUAAGAUUCGUGGUCGAGAGGGAAAGAGCCCAGACCGCCAGCUAAGGUCCCUAAAUCUGAGCUAAGUGGUAAAGGAUGUGGGGUUGCCCAGACAACCAGGAUGUUGGCUUAGAAGCAGCCAUUCAUUUAAAGAGUGCGUAAUAGCUCACUGGUCGAGUGACCCUGCGCCGAAAAUGUCCGGGGCUAAGCUCGGUACCGAAGCUGCGGCUUACUGGAGGUUAGAUGUUAGAGGUUNNNNNNNNNNNNNNNNNNNNNNNNNNNNNNNNNNNNNNNNNNNNNNNNNNUCUCCAACUUCCAACAUCUGACCUCCAGUAGGGGUAGGGGAGCGUUCCCAUCGGGCAGAAGCCUGACCGGAAGGACAGGUGGACUGGUGGGAAGUGAGAAUGCCGGUAUGAGUAACGACAAGGCAGGUGAGAAUCCUGCCCGCCGAAAGCCUAAGGUUUCCUGAGGAAGGCUCGUCCGCUCAGGGUAAGGCGGGACCUAAGCCGAGGCCCAAAGGCGUAGGCGAUGGACAGCCGGUUAAAAUUCCGGCCCCACCCAGAGCCGCUUGAGCGAAGGGGUGACGCAGGAGGGUAGGCUGAGCGCACGACUGGAAGAGUGCGUCCAAACCUGUAGGCGGGGCUCCCAGGCAAAUCCGGGAGCCUGUUAACGCCGAGGGGUGACGGGGAGCGAAAAUAUUCGCGAAGCAGCUGACCCCAUACUGCCGAGAAAAACCUCUAGCAAGGCUUAUGGGUGCCCGUACCGCAAACCGACACAGGUAGGCGGGGAGAGAAUCCCAAGGCGCGCGGGAGAACCCUCGUUAAGGAACUCGGCAAAAUGACCCCGUAACUUCGGGAGAAGGGGUGCCACACUAGGGUGAAGGCUCUAGCAGCUGGAGCUCGAAGUGGCCGCAGAGAAUUGGCCCAAGCGACUGUUUAUCAAAAACACAGGUCACUGCUAAGAAGCAAUUCGACGUAUAGUGGCCGACGCCUGCCCGGUGCUGGAAGGUUAAGGGGAAGGGUGAGAGCUCUGAACCGAAGCCCCAGUGAACGGCGGCCGUAACUAUAACGGUCCUAAGGUAGCGAAAUUCCUUGUCGGGUAAGUUCCGACCNCUAUAACGGUCCUAAGGUAGCGAAAUUCCUUGUCGGGUAAGUUCCGACCCGCACGAAUGGCGCAACGACUUGGGCGCUGUCUCAACGAGGGACCCGGUGAAAUUGCAUUACCUGUAAAGAUGCAGGUUACCCGUGGCUGGACAGAAAGACCCCGUGGAGCUUUACUGCAGCUUGACAUUGGACUUUGGUAUUACCUGUACAGGAUAGGUGGGAGGCUGCGAAGCCUGGGCGCCAGUUCAGGUGGAGCCGUUGGUGGGAUACCACUCUUGUAGUACUGGGGUUCUAACUUUUGGCCGUAAUCCGGUCUGAGGACAUUGUCAGGUGGGCAGUUUGACUGGGGCGGUCGCCUCCCAAAGGGUAACGGAGGCGCCCAAAGGUUCCCUCAGCGCGGUUGGGAAUCGCGCAGAGAGUGUAAAGGCAGAAGGGAGCUUGACUGCGAGACGUACAUGUCGAGCAGGGACGAAAGUCGGGCUUAGUGAUCCGGCGGUGCUGUGUGGAAAGGCCGUCGCUCAACGGAUAAAAGCUACCCCGGGGAUAACAGGCUUAUCUCCCCCAAGAGUCCACAUCGACGGGGAGGUUUGGCACCUCGAUGUCGGCUCAUCGCAUCCUGGGGC